rnacentral:lncRNA from 1 species
CUUCGCUUAUCUGAGCAGCUACCUGAAGAUUCUGCUCAAACAUCUGAAAAACGAUAGCUGGGAGCGUAGUCUGAUAGUACCCAUCUUGAUCUGCUUCUGGCUCAGUUUCUUUUACCCAGUCUUUUUUAUCUGUCUCCAGUGCUUUUCUUAGCCAGCCAAUGAUGUUAGAAGUAAGCGUUGACAUGUACUUGCUGAGAAGCUG